rnacentral:rRNA from 1 species
GCAAUCUACCUUUUACAGAGGGAUAGCCCAGAGAAAUUUGGAUUAAUACCUCAUAGUAUAAUGACCUGGCAUCAGGAUGUUAUUAAAGUCACAACGGUAAAAGAUGAGCAUGCGUCCCAUUAGCUAGUUGGUAAGGUAACGGCUUACCAAGGCUACGAUGGGUAGGGGUCCUGAGAGGGAGAUCC